CGGUUGAUCCUGCCGGACCCCACUGCUAUCGGGAUAGGAAUAAGACAUGCUAGUCGAGCGCUCCCCAAGCAAAUGGUGAGUGCGGCGUACAGCUCAGUAACACGUGGCUAACCUGCCCUUGGGACGGGGACACCCCCGGGAAACUGGGGCUAAUCCCCGAUAGGUGGAGAACUCUGGAAUGAGUCUCCGCCCAAAAGGCGCUUACGUUAUGCUCGUAGGCGCCGCCCAAGGAUGGGGCCGCGUCCGAUCAGGUUGUUGGCGAGGUAACGGCUCACCAAGCCUUUUACCGGUGCGGGCCGUGGGAGCGGAAGCCCGGAGAUGGGCACUGAGACAAGGGCCCAGGCCCUACGGGGCGCAGCAGUCGCGAAAACUUUGCAAUACACGAAAGUGUGACAGGGCUAUCCCGAGUGCCAUCCGCUGAGGAAGGCUUUUACUCAGUGUAGAACGCUGGGGGAAUAAGGAGAGGGCAAGACUGGUGUCAGCCGCCGCGGUAAUACCAGCUCUCCGAGUGGUGUGGAUGUUUAUUGGGCCUAAAGCAUCCGUAGCUGGCUGGGCAAGUCCCCUGUUAAAUCCACCGAUUUAAUCGUUGGUGUGCGGGGGAUACUGCUCGGCUAGGGGACGGGAGAGGCCGACGGUAUUUCCGGGGUAGGGGUGAAAUCCUAUAAUCCCGGGAGGACCACCAGUGGCGAAGGCUGUCGGCUAGAACGUGCCCGACGGUGAGGGAUGAGAGCUGGGGGAGCGAACCGGAUUAGAUACCCGGGUAGUCCCAGCUGUAAACGAUGCAGGCUAGGUGUUUGGGCGGCUACGUGCCGCUCUAGUGCCGCAAGGAAGCUGUUAAGCCUGCCGCCUGGGGAGUACGAUCGCAAGAUUGAAACUUAAAGGAAUUGGCGGGGGAGCAC
rnacentral:rRNA from 1 species